UACGGGGGGGCAAGCGUUGUUCGGAAUUACUGGGCGUAAAGGGCUCGUAGGUGGCCAACUAAGUCACACGUGAAAUCCCUCGGCUUAACCGGGGAACUGCGUGUGAUACUGGAUGGCUUGAGUUUGGGAGAGGGAUGCGGAAUUCCAGGUGUAGCGGUGAAAUGCGUAGAUAUCUGGAGGAACACCGGUGGCGAAGGCGGCAUCCUGGACCAACACUGACGCUGAGGAGCGAAAGCCAGGGGAGCAAACGGG
rnacentral:rRNA from 1 species